UUCCUACGGGGCGCAGCAGUGGGGAAUAUUGCACAAUGGGGGAAACCCUGAUGCAGCAACGCCGCGUGAGUGAAGAAGGUUUUCGGAUUGUAAAGCUCUGUUGAUAGUGAAGAAAGAUAGAGGUAGUAACUGGCCUUUAUUUGACGGUAAUUACUUAGAAAGUCACGGCUAACUACGUGCCAGCAGCCGCGGUAAUACGUAGGUGGCAAGCGUUGUCCGGAUUUAUUGGGCGUAAAGCGAGUGCAGGCGGUUCAAUAAGUCUGAUGUGAAAGCCU
rnacentral:rRNA from 1 species